rnacentral:rRNA from 1 species
AAACCAACAKGSAUNGCCCNAGUANCGGCGAGUGANGCGGCAACAGCUCAAAUUUGAAAUCUGGCCCCAGGCCCGAGUUGUAAUUUGCAGAGGAUGCUUUUGGCGCGGUGCCUUCCGAGUUCCCUGGAACGGGACGCCAUAGAGGGUGAGAGCCCCGUACGGUUGGACACCAAGCCUUUGUAAAGCUCCUUCGACGAGUCGAGUAGUUUGGGAAUGCUGCUCUAAAUGGGAGGUACAUUUCUUCUAAAGCUAAAUAUUGGCCAGAGACCGAUAGCGCACAAGUAGAGUGAUCGAAAGAUGAAAAGCACUUUGAAAAGAGGGUUAAACAGCACGUGAAAUUGUUAAAAGGGAAGCGCUUGUGACCAGACUUGCGUCCGGUGAAUCACCCAGCUCUCGCGGCUGGGGCACUUCGCCGGCACAGGCCAGCAUCAGCUUGCCGUCGGGGACAAAAGCUUCAGGAACGUGGCUCCUCUCGGGGAGUGUUAUAGCCUGUUGCACAAUACCCUUCGGCGGGCUGAGGUACGCGCUCCGCAAGGAUGCNGGCGWAAWGNGUNCNAUYAGCGAC